rnacentral:rRNA from 1 species
AUGGGCGAAGCCUGAUGCAGCGACGCCGCGUGAGUGAAGAAGUAUUUCGGUAUGUAAAGCUCUAUCAGCAGGGNAAGAAAAUGACGGUACCUGACUAAGAAGCCCCGGCUAACUACGUGCCAGCAGCCGCGGUAAUACGUAGGGAGCAAGCGUUGUCCGGAUUUACUGGGUGUAAAGGGUGCGUAGGCGGCUUUGCAAGUCAGAUGUGAAAUCUAUGGGCUCAACCCAUAGCCUGCAUUUGAAACUGCAGAGCUUGAGUGAAGUAGAGGCAGGCGGAAUUCCCCGUGUAGCGGUGAAAUGCGUAGAUAUUAGGAGGAACACCAGUGGCGAAGGCGGCUUACUGGACAGUAACUGACGUUGAGGCUCGAAAGCGUGGGGAGCAAACAGGAUUAGAUACCCUGGUAGUCCAAGGGCGAAUUC